rnacentral:rRNA from 1 species
UGGGGAAUAUUGCACAAUGGGCGAAAGCCUGAUGCAGCAACGCCGCGUGAGUGAUGAAGGCCUUCGGGUUGUAAAGCUCUGUCUUUUGGGACGAUGAUGACGGUACCAAAGGAGGAAGCCACGGCUAACUACGUGCCAGCAGCCGCGGUAAUACGUAGGUGGCAAGCGUUGUCCGGAUUUACUGGGCGUAAAGGAUGCGUAGGCGGAUUUUUAAGUGAGAUGUGAAAUACCCGGGCUUAACUUGGGUGCUGCAUUUCAAACUGGGAAUCUAGAGUGCGGGAGAGGAGAAUGGAAUUCCUAGUGUAGCGGUGAAAUGCGUAGAGAUUAGGAAGAACACCAGUGGCGAAGGCGAUUCUCUGGACCGUAACUGACGCUGAGGCAUGAAAGCGUGGGUAGCAAACAGGAUUAGAUACCCUGGUAGUCCACGCCGUAAACGAUGAGUACUAGGUGUAGGAGGUAUCGACCCCUUCUGUGCCGCAGUUAACACAAUAAGUACUCCGCCUGGGAAGUACGAUCGCAAGAUUAAAACUCAAAUGAAUUGACGGGGUC